UCAAGUAAGUAAGGGCGUACGGCGGAUGCCUUGGCCAUAUCAGCCGAAGAAGGACGCGAUAAGCUGCGAUAAGCUGCGGUGAGGUGCAAGUAACCUUUGACCCGCAGAUCUCCGAAUGGGGAAACCCGGCAGCAGUAGUGCUGUCAUCCUCUAUGAGGAAGGGCACCCGGUGAACUGAAACAUCUAAGUAGCCGGAGGAAAAGGAAUCAACAGAGAUACCCCUAGUAGCGGCGAGCGAACGGGGCAGAGCCCAAACCGGGAUGGGAAACCAAUCCGGGGUUGUGGACUGCUAUCAAAUGCAUGAGUGAAGCAGAAUGAGCUGGGAAGCUCAGCCAGAGAGAGUGAGAGCCUCGUAGGCGUAAGCAAGUGCAUGGAGCAGGAUCCGGAGUACCACGAGACACGAGAAACCUUGUGGGAAGCUGGGGGGACCACCCUCCAAGGCGAAACACUGAUAUGGACCGAUAGCGCAUAGUACCGUGAGGGAAAGGUGAAAAGAACCCCGGGAGGGGAGUGAAAUAGAACCUGAAACCCUGCACUUACAAGCUGUGGGAGCACAUUACUUGUGUGACCGCGUACUUUUUGUAGAACGGGCCAACGAGUUACGUUAAGUAGCAAGGUUAAGCACUUAAGGUGUGGAGCCGUAGCGAAAGCGAGUCUUAAAUGGGCGAUUAAGUUACUUGGCGUAGACCCGAAACCGGGCGACCUAUCCAUGAGCAGGUUGAAGCGAAAGUAAAAUUUCGUGGAGGACCGAACCCACGAGCGUUGAAAAGCUCGGGGAUGACUUGUGGAUAGCGGUGAAAUUCCAAUCGAGCCCGGAGAUAGCUGGUUCUCCCCGAAAUAGCUUUAGGGCUAGCCUCAAGCGUAGAGAAACGGAGGUAGAGCACUGAAUGUCCUAGGGGGUAUUGCACUUACCGAAGACUAUCAAACUCCGAAUGCCGUUUUCUUUUACUUGGGAGUCAGACUGUGGGUGAUAAGAUUCAUAGUCAAAAGGGCAACAGCCCAGAUCGUCAGCUAAGGUCCCUAAAUGUACGUUAAGUGGUAAAGGAUGUGGGAUUGCACAGACAACCAGGAUGUUGGCUUAGAAGCAGCCACUCAUUUAAAGAGUGCGUAAUAGCUCACUGGUCGAGUGAUCCUGCGCCGAAAAUUUCCGGGGCUAAAACGUACUACCGAAGCUACGGCAUCAUUUAUGAUGGGUAGGGGAGCUUCGUAUGCAGGCUGAAGCAUGACCGUAAGGACAUGUGGACAGUAUACGAGUGAGAAUGUUGGCAUGAGUAGCGAGACGUGGGUGAGAAUCCCACGGGCCGUAAACCCAAGGUUUCCAGGGGAAGGUUCGUCCGCCCUGGGUUAGUCGGGACCUAAGCCGAGGCCGAAAGGCGUAGGUGAUGGACAACAGGUUGAUAUUCCUGUACCGCCAAUAAGCGUUUGAGAGAUGGAGUGACACAGUAGGAUAAGCUAACCGUACUGUUGGUUAUGUACGGCUAAGCAUUGAGGCAGUCUAAAUAGGCAAAUCCGUUUAGACAAUGCUAGGAUGUGAUGGGGAAGCCCUUCGGGGCGAAGUAGCUGAUUUCACACUGUCAAGAAAAGCUUCUAUCGAGUUUAAAGGCGCCCGUACCGUAAACCGACACAGGUGGGUGAGGAGAGUAUCCUAAGGCCAGCGAGAGAACUAUUGUUAAGGAACUCGGCAAAAUGACCCCGUAACUUAGGGAGAAGGGGUGCCUGUCUAUGACAGGCCGCAGAGAAUAGGCCCAAGCGACUGUUUACCAAAAACACAGGUUUCUGCUAAGUCGCAAGACGAUGUAUAGGAGCUGACGCCUGCCCGGUGCUGGAAGGUUAAGGGGAUCUGUUAGAGCAAUCGAAGCAGUGAACUUAAGCCCCAGUAAACGGCGGCCGUAACUAUAACGGUCCUAAGGUAGCGAAAUUCCUUGUCGGGUAAGUUCCGACCCGCACGAAAGGCGUAACGAUUUGGGCACUGUCUCAACAAUAGACUCGGUGAAAUUGUAAUCCCGGUGAAGAUGCCGGGUACCUGCGACAGGACGGAAAGACCCCAUGGAGCUUUACUGUAGCUUGACGUUGGGUCUUGGUACUACAUGUACAGGAUAGGUGGGAGACUAUGAAGCAUGGACGCCAGUCUGUGUGGAGUCAUCCUUGGGAUACCACCCUUGUAGUACUGGGAUCCUAACCAUAGGCCUUGAAUCAGGUCUUGGAACACCGUCAGGUGGGCAGUUUGACUGGGGCGGUCGCCUCCUAAAAAGUAACGGAGGCGCUCAAAGGUUUCCUCAGCACGGUCGGAAAUCGUGCGAAGAGUGUAAAGGCAAAAGGAAGCUUGAUUGCAAGACAUACAGGUCGAGCAAGGACGAAAGUCGGACUUAGUGAUCCGGUGGUACCGCAUGGAAGGGCCAUCGCUCAACGGAUAAAAGCUACCCUGGGGAUAACAGGCUUAUCUCCCCCAAGAGUCCACAUCGACGGGGAGGUUUGGCACCUCGAUGUCGGCUCAUCACAUCCUGGGGCUGUAGUAGGUCCCAAGGGUUGGGCUGUUCGCCCAUUAAAGUGGUACGCGAGCUGGGUUCAGAACGUCGUGAGACAGUUCGGUCCCUAUCCAUCGCGGGCGUAAGAAACUUGAAAGGGGCUGCUCCUAGUACGAGAGGACCGGAGUGGACCGACCAAUGGUGUACCAGUCAUGGCGCCAGCCGUGCAGCUGGGUAGCUACGUCGGGGACGGAUAAACGCUGAAAGCAUCUAAGCGUGAAACCAGCCUAGAGAUGAGGUUUCUCAUUGUUUUAACAAGUAAGGUCCCACAAAGACGAUGUGGUUGAUAGGCCGGGAGUGGAAGUACAGCGAUGUACGGAGCGGACCGGUACUAAUAGACCGAGGACUUGACUU
rnacentral:rRNA from 1 species